rnacentral:rRNA from 1 species
UUUAGAAUUAAACGGCUGCGGUACUCUGACCGUGCAAAGGUAGCAUAAUCAUUAGCCUGCUAAUUUCAGGCUGGAAUCAAUGGCAAGACGAAGAAAAAGCUGUCUCUUUACAUUUUAUUUGAAUUUUUCGUUUUGGUUAAGAGACCAAGAUAAUUUAGUGGGACGAGAAGACCCUAUUGAGCUUUAAUUUUAAAUUAGUGGAAGAGUCUAGUAUUAGGUUUUGGUUGGGGCAACGGUUUUUUUAAUUAGACAAAAGGGAUAGAGAAAUGAAUUAAUUCUUGUUUUGACCCAAGUGACAUAUUUUGGUAAAUAGAAAAAGUUACCAUAGGGAUAACAGCGUAAUUCUUUUUGAGAGUACUUAUUGACAAAAGAGUUUGCGACCUCGAUGUUGGAUCAGGUUUACCUAGAGGUGCAGCAGCUUCUAAGGGUUGGUUUGUUCAACCAUAAAAAACUUACGUGAUCUGAG